CCUACGGAGGUCAGCAGUGAGGAAUAUUGGUCAAUGGGCGCGAGCCUGAACCAGCCAAGUAGCGUGAAGGAUGACUGCCCUACGGGUUGUAAACUUCUUUUAUAAAGGAAUAAAGUGAGGCCCGUGUGCCUUUUUGUAUGUACUUUAUGAAUAAGGAUCGGCUAACUCCUUGCCAGCAGCCGCGGUAAUACGGCGGAUCCGAGCGUUAUCCGGAUUUAUUGGGUUUCAAGGGAGCGUAGAUGGGUUGUUAAGUCAGUUGUGAAAGUUUGCGGCUCAACCGUAAAAUUGCAAUUGAUACUGGUAGUCGUGAGUACAGUUGAGGUAGGCGGAAUUCGUGGUGUAGCGGUGAAAUGCUUAGAUAUCACGAAGAACUCCGAUUGCGAAGGCAGCUUACUAAACUGCCACUGACAUUGAUGCUCGAAAGUGUGGGUAUCAAACAGGAUUAGAUACCCGGGUAGUC
rnacentral:rRNA from 1 species